rnacentral:lncRNA from 1 species
AUUGCCAUCCACAAAGCUCCUUUCCUUCAUCAUCCGUCAUCAUCAACACCACCAUGGCAGCCAUUAUCCAUAGCUCCACUCCAUAGCCGCGCCAUCCACUAUUCACCACUUCCCAUUUUCGGCAAUUUCAUCUCCUUCCACCAUCAAAAUCCUUUCAAAUCUUCACCCAACCCUCUAAAUCCAUCCAUAAUUCAAUCCAAACCUUGUUCUUAUCAAGCCAAAGCCUAAACCAUAAGCAUUCAAGCC